rnacentral:rRNA from 1 species
GACGAACGCUGGCGGCGUGCUUAACACAUGCAAGUCGAACGGUAAGGCUCCAUCUUGCUGGGGUACACGAGUGGCGAACGGGUGAGUAACACGUGGGUGACCUGCCCUGCACUUCGGGAUAAGCCUGGGAAACUGGGUCUAAUACCGGAUAGGACCAUGGUGUGGAUACUGUGGUGGAAAGUUUUUUCGGUGUGGGAUGGGCCCGCGGCCUAUCAGCUUGUUGGUGGGGUAAUGGCCUACCAAGGCGGCGACGGGUAGCCGGCCUGAGAGGGUGGACGGCCACAUUGGGACUGAGACACGGCCCAGACUCCUACGGGAGGCAGCAGUGGGGAAUAUUGCACUAUGGGCGGAAGCCUGAUGCAGCGACGCCGCGUGGGGGAUGACGGCCUUCGGGUUGUAAACUCCUUUCCCCAUCGACGAAGGGUUUCUGACGGUAGAUGGAGAAGAAGCACCGGCUAACUACGUG